AUCAAUCAAGUGUGUCCCCUCCUGCUGCAGUAAGUGGGGAAAACUCAUUUUCCACCACAGCACAACCGCACUCACUGCAGCAGGGAAACCUAUUAAUCAUGCUCCCAUAGUGUCCGGCUCCCAUUACUGUGGUGCCGCCAUUCAAAAACUAGCAAACAAACGAAAAAGGCUUUCACCGCACGAGGUCAUUGGGUUUACCGUGGCAUAAAUCAUUCCUGCUCUGUGUUGGCACUUAACAAAAGGGUCCAUGGUGAUGAAAAUCCAAUUACUCUAAUUGUAUGCUUGUCCGUUGGGGCUGGAAUAGAACUUUUUGUACUCUGGGGACAAGUGAGUGACUGCUAGCUGUUAUACGGAAAGCCUUAUACAAGUGAUAUGUUAUUCUUUCGUGUUCGAGAAUUUCAGAAGUUCGGAAAUUCGGAAAUUCCUAGGUAGUAAUCGCUAAGGCAAUAGGGAAUCGCGCCACUUGGGCGGUGGCUUCUAUAUUCGUCUGUUUUCCACUAUAACUCAGUCAAAUUUGAACCAAUUGACACAACUUUUGGAAUGUGGUGAGAUAGGUAUAGUAUCUACCCGUGUACAACAUUUCAAGUCAAUUGAUUCAAAAUUGACUGAGUUAUAGUGGAAAACAGACGAAUAUAGAAGCCACCGCCCAAGUGGCGCGAUACCCUAUAUGUGUUUAUCUUCAGCCGUUAUUUUCAACAUAUCAUGUCGAUUUUAUUUAAUUUAGUUAAAAUAAUAUUCUAUCAAGCCACUUACACUAGGUAACAACAUGUUGAUAGUUCUACAUUUAUUAAGGCUCACAUUUAAGAUUUAGUAUGUAUCAACAGAUUAUCUCUUAGAAACACAAGGUUCACUGCAAUGUUCCUCCGGUAAGCACACUAACGGCUUACUAUUGUGCAGAUGCCCUGAUACUACAAACUUUGGAGUCCAAAGGCUCCAUUUGCAAUUCGACUUUUGUUGUAACCCAUCCAAUCAUUUAUACUUACCAGUGGCGUAGCUAGACAUUUGGGGGCCCGGUGCGGAACCAAAUUUGUGGGCCCCCUUGAAAAUUACAUAUGUACAUAUUUUACAAUGAUAAAUCUAUACAUUUAACUCUCGGAUGAUCUGUUGUAUUUUGUACAAAAUGUUGAAAAAAUCUCGACUUUUGUACUCAACAUUAGUGUGAUUCUGGCAGUGGUGGCCAACUGAGUGACGGAUGGUUAAAGGUUAUUCUGUAUUCCUUUAUGAAUUUCUUCGGGGAUUUCUGCAAGGAUUCAACCCGGAGUUCCAUCAAGAAUUUUGUCGAUUUUUUUCUUACAACUUAUUUAGGAAUUGCGCCAAGUAAUCCUUUAGGAAUUCCUUCAAAGAUUGCUUUACCGUUUUCUUAAAAAAAAAAUCUCACUUGAAGAAUAAUUUGUCUUCAAGAAUCUGUUAAGUGGUAAAUGCAAGGAUUCAAUAUUCUCUAAGCACUCUUUCUAGAAUUCUAGCAGUGUUGUCUCCGAGGAUGUUUUCAAAAGCACUUCAGAGUACUUCAAAAUAUUUUUGCAAAGGCUUGGCUUCAUCGAGUAUUUCACGAAACAUUUGUUCUGGAAGUGCACCAGGGAUUCUAUCAAUAUUAUCUCUGAGGAUUCUUCUAGAAGAUCAUUCAUAGAAUUCUAAAGAAAUUUCAGAGAAAAUUACUACAAGAAAUUCUCAAAUGUUUCUUUUGGAACCAGAUUUUCUUCUAAGAAAUUACAUCGGAAUUCCGCCAGAGAAAAAUAAGUCCUUCUAGAUUUUCUUCACACAUUCCUCCAUGGUUUCUUUCAGGAGAUCCUCCAAAUAUUCCAUUGAUGAUUUUUCCACAGAAGUUGAGUAUUUCUCCAAAGAUUCUUUAAGGAUUUCUCAGUUAUUCCCUCUCAUAACUUUUUCAGAAAUUUCUCCAAGAAUUUGUCUUGGCAUUUCCUCAAGCAUUCAUCACUCAUCUUGGUGUUCUUUUGAAGAUUUCUUAAGAUUUUUUUCUAAGGUUUCCUUCAGAAAUUCCUCCAAGUCAUUUUUGAAGGAAUCGACUGCAACGCUUCUUUUUCGAAAAAUUUCUGCAAGGAUUCUUGGAGGAGGUUUUACUAAAAGAUUCAUUUUAAAAUUCCUCCAAGAAAUUUACAUAGAAUCCAUUAGAUAAUUAGAUAAUAAUAAAAAAAAUCUUUAAUUUCUCAGAGGAACUUCUGUAGGGAUUGUUUCAAAAAAUCCGUCUGAAAUUCCUCCAACGAAUUCUUUGAUAUCCAUCAACUCUAGGAAUUUUCCCAAAGAUUCCUUCAGGAAUUUUUGCUAGCAAAAAUAAGAAACAAAACAAAAAGCGCCUCAUUCUUUUGUUUUGAGUAGGAUGGAAAUUGGAGCGUAUAUGCUUAAAUAGUAAAGGAACAGAUACCCUAUCUUAUCGAAUCAAACAAUUUCUCCAGAAGUUUCUCUAAGGAUUCCUCACUGUUUUGCCACUUUCUUCAGGAAGAGUCUAGAAGCACUCUUCAAAUGAUUAAUGCAAGGCUAAGAUUUCAUAAAGAAUAUCCAUCGGGAAUUCUUCAGGAAUCGCUUCAAGAAUUCCGACGGCAA